UACGUAGGGGGCUAGCGUUGUCCGGAAUCAUUGGGCGUAAAGCGCGUGUAGGCGGCCCGGUAAGUCCGCUGUGAAAGUCGGGGGCUCAACCCUCGGAUGCCGGUGGAUACUGUCGGGCUAGAGUGCGGAAGAGGCGAGUGGAAUUCCUGGUGUAGCGGUGAAAUGCGCAGAUAUCAGGAGGAACACCGGUGGCGAAGGCGGAUCUCUGGGCCAUUACUGACGCUGAGGAGCGAAAGCGUGGGGAGCGAACAGG
rnacentral:rRNA from 1 species